GUGGGGAAUAUUGGACAAUGGGCGCAAGCCUGAUCCAGCCAUGCCGCGUGAGUGAUGAAGGCCUUAGGGUUGUAAAGCUCUUUUGUCCGGGAAGAUAAUGACUGUACCGGAAGAAUAAGCCCCGGCUAACUUCGUGCCAGCAGCCGCGGUAAUACGAAGGGGGCUAGCGUUGUUCGGAAUCACUGGGCGUAAAGCGCACGUAGGCGGACCAUUAAGUCAGGGGUGAAAGCCUGGAGCUCAACUCCAGAACUGCCUUUGAUAUUGAUGGUCUCGAGUAUGGAAGAGGUUGGUGGAACUGCGAGUGUAGAGGUGAAAUUCGUAGAUAUUCGCAAGAACACCGGUGGCGAAGGCGGCCAACUGGUCCAUUACUGACGCUGAGGUGCGAAAGCGUGGGGAGCAAACAGGAUUAGAAACCCCUGUAGUCC
rnacentral:rRNA from 1 species